AUGUGAUUUAAGCAGAAAAUAAACAUACACUUCAUGCAUAUCAUGUUCCUAAUGUUCUUCAGAUUUGUCAAUUUCCGAUGAAGUAGAUCCACUCUCCUCUGAAUCACUGUUUAUGACUUUUUUCUUACUUCCUCCUUCAACAAUUUUAAUGCCACUAGCCUUCACGUUGUUGAUGACUUUCUGAAUUGUCAUUGGGUCAUUUUUUUCUUGGAUCUCAAUUCUUCAAUAGAUUGUUCAUCUUGAACUUUUUUAGAUUUUGCCAUAGUACAUUGAUCUCAAAAUCCUGAGUUAAACCCAUUGAAAACGAAGGUGGAUUGUCAACAACAUUGACAUGCAAUGACAUACCAUACCUCUCGUAUGGAGAUGAAUCAUCCAUUUUGAUUUUCAAAAACUUAUAAUUUGAUAAGAAAGAAAGAUUUUAUUUUUAAAAAAAAAAUAUGAAAAAACUAGCAAGCAUAAUACAUAUACAAUUGAUGAAGAAGGAAAAAACAAAAAAAAUGGAUUCACCCACAAUUUUGACGGUUACCUGCGAAAAUUGAAAGCACGACUGGAGGGAGGAGGUGAAAUUUACUCAAUUCAAAAUUCAAAUUAGAAGUGGAAGAGUGAUUUUAGGAGAAAGAUAUAGAAUGUGGAUAGGAGAGAGAAAAUUGAUUCUGUAUAAAAUUUAGAGCCGUCAAUAUGGGCUAGGCCCGUUGGGUCGGCCUGGCCUAACCCAAAAUUUAAUAGGGCUGGGCUAAGAUUUUUAGAGCCCAUUUAAGAAAAGGGCUUUUUAGCCCGGCCUAAAUAAGCCUGCUAAUUUGUGGGGCUUGAGAAAUAUAGGUAGGGCCGGCCCGUGGGACAAAUAAUAAAAAAAAAAAACAUAAUAUAAUAUUAAAUUUAAAAUUAAAGAGAGUCCAAAGUCAAAAUCUAUUUAAUAUUUAACUAAUUGAAACCGCAUAUAAAUUGCAGAUGAAAAUUCAGAUGUUAAGACAACCUUGCCACAAGCUAAUUCAGAUAUGCUUGAUGAAGAUGAUCAUGAAGUGUUGGAUACGCCAUAGAUUUCAUGAUGUGUUAGAUACGCCAUAAGUUUCAUAAAUUUUUUUUAAGGAGUUUAUUUUUAACUUUUUUUAUGGUUGGAAUAUUGUCACAUUUUUUGUGUUUUAAUGUGACAAAACAAUUAGGUUAAUAUUUCUAUUUAGAUAUUUAUACUUUUAUUUGAAAAAACCUUAAUAAAUAUUAUAAAGAUAAUUUUAUUUGUGGAUUUGAUUAACAAGUAGUAACAUUAACACCAUGUAAUAUUGUUUUGUCGCUAUUUAUGAUAAUAUUUUUAAAUUAUAAUUUAUAAUUUAUUUUAAUAAUUCGACCGUUUAAUAUAAUUUUAAAAAAGUGUGCUGGGCCGGCAAGCCUGUAGCACACGUACUUGUGGGCUGGGCCGACCGUUUUCUGGCCCACACCAAAAAUGGGCUAGCCCGACCUGACCCGUAAAAUGUCAAAGCCUGUAUGGGUUAGCCCGGAUGGGGUGGGUUAGCUCAUAUUGACAGCUCUAAUAAAAUUAUAUACAAAAGCAUAAGAAGGUCUUUGUUGGUUCAGUAUAGAAAGAGGUGGUGGGUCCCAUUAAUUAUGGCAAAAAAACUGAAACUAUAAUUACUGACAGUAAAUAAAUUAAACUAUACCCUUAUUAAUUAAUUACUUAGGGAUGUUUGCCAACUCACGUAAUUUUCCCUUCAUAAAAUUAGAUAGCAAACCCGUUAACAUGGGCUCAUCCACAAAGCAUAUCGAGAAAAUGAGCCCAUUUAUAAAGGAAGCCCAAUACGUAUUGGGCCAACCGCAGCGAUUAACAGAAAAUUGGGUCCAGCCCAAGAAGCAAAAUACGCACUAAUCUACUGCAGAAAUGGUGAUUGAUAUACACAAAUCUGUAACGCUAUCUAAAAGGUCUAUAAUUUUAUUUUAUGUUAAAACGAAGGAUCAUUUACUAAACAAUUAUCUCGGAAAAGGGAUAACCCGAGAGAGUUUUUCAAAAGUGUUCCCAAUCUCGCUUUAAUAGUAUUCUCUUAACAAUAAUUCUAAUUCGCAAAUGCAAAGCUUCUCUAAUUAUUAUAUUUUUUGUGAGAACACAAGUCUUUUUCUUCUUUUAUUAUAAUUUUUUGUGAAAUAUUCUUGAAGAUGACCUCUUAAUUGAUACGUCAUAUUCAUGAAGAAAAUAUGAUGCCCUGCCAAAUAAUGCAAACUUUAUGUGUGCAAAAUGACAAAAUUUUGGUACCAACCACUCCUCAACCGUACUACACUUUAACAAAGAGAAAAAAAAAACGAAGAAAUUACGAAUUCCUAAUAUAAGUAAAUACAUUUACGCACGCGAUAUUUAUAUAAAUUUAUUAUAGAAAACGUAUUACCUUUGAAAUUGGAAUCUUCUAUACAAAUUAAAAUUGGUCGUCAAAUCACAAAGCAGAUAUCAAACAUCUUUGCGUAGAAAAAAAAAAGAACAUAGAUUAAACUCGAAACCCAAUCAUUGGGACGAAGAUUUCUUCUUUACUAAAUAAUUAAGUGAAUUAAUAAUUUUUGCUCUUUUUUCCCACUUGAUAUGUACAUAAAAUACACUAAACAUGAUACUAUAAAAUCUACAACUAACUAAUUCUGAUCUCAACUAAUCCUAAAUCCUAAUUAAUAACUAAUACCAAUUAAUUAAUAGCUAAUCAAACGUCACCAAGUAGCAAUAUUAGGAUUAAAAGAAGGCAUAAAAAUCUUUUGGCCGGUUGCUAAUAUAUGCCUUGGAUCAAACUCUAAUUUUCUUUGUUGAAAUCUUGUCCAAUAUUUUUCUCCAAAAUGGUCCCUCCAUUCUCUUUGAUUGUCAUAAUGAGGCAAAUAUUGUUUCACAUUGAUCUUUUCAUCCUCACAAAACUUCAAUAUUUCAUAAUUUUGAUUACUUAGGUAAUCCAACGUUUGUGUCUCAUCACCAUUCUCCAAUGCAGACCUCAAAAACGCGACCAAGUAAAACACAUCUUCUUCUGGUGUAACUACCGAACUCCUAUCGUCCCAUCUGAAAUACACAUGAUUUUUCGUAAGCGAUAAUUUUUUUUAAAAAAUGAAUAAAUUUGUCGUAUUAAUUGGACUAUAUGGUACUAGAAGAUGAUUUUCGAAUAUUCAUGAGUUGUUUUUUUAAUGAGGUUAGGAAGUAGUAACUGUUACAUAAGCCAAAUAAAAUUGGUCCCCUUAAGGAGGAUCUUCCUGACAAGAUCUUGAAUGUUUAAUUUGGACCAUUUCUAAUUAUUAUUGGAUUUAUUUGAAAAUUAAAAAAAAGUUCUAAUUAUCCUAGCUGGAAAAUCAUGCAUGUGUGCCACGUGUUUAGGUGGACAUGCCACAUAUCAUACGACAACGGAAAUAAACCACUGACCACAAAGCAUUGGAGUAGGAUCUGUAGACAGUCGUGGAGUCAUAAUUUUUUUAAAAAAGGUUAUAAAUAUAAAAAAGUAAAUAUACGAAUAAACGAAGGAGUUUAACACCUAUUAUGUAUACAUAAAUUAGUGAUAUAUGUUCUAUCAAAGGAAACUCGAAUGAACCUCUAAACCUAGCUCCGCCCCUAUAUUUAGAGGGUCAAGGUUUUUGGUACAUUUUUCUUUAAGAGUAAUGUUCAAAGCAGACAAUAUCAUAUAUUAUUAAAUGUAUUUUUGAACUAUUUUAACUUAAUAAUUCAUAUAUAAUAUAACUCCAACUCAACACGUCAAUUAUAUUCUCAACUCGACUCCUACUUUAUUGACUUUGUCUUUAUUCCUAUAUUGGAUUCGUUGCUAUUUACUAGACAAAAUUAUUUUACUGUUUGUUUGGUAGCUAGGACAAAACAAAAUUACAGCAAAAACUCUGCACGAAAAAGUAGAAACUGAGGGAUCACUUUUAAGCCAUUUAGAAAGGUAGCUAGGGACCAUUAUUAACAAAUGGACCAUAUACUAUACGAAUGUUUGUUGAAAAAAUUGAUUUUUUUACGUAUUUCGUAAUUUACGAUAAAAUUGAGAAAAUUGGGUGAGAUGUCUGAUGAACAUAUAAUCCAAAUUUGUGAGUAGUAUUCCAUGACAUGACAUGGACAUAUCACUAGUUCUACAAAAGUUUGUGUCAUGAUGAUGAGUAAAUUAAUGGCACAACAAAGUAUGUAUAUAGUAUAUUCAUAUUCAUUAUACAUAAAUCAUAUACAUAUAGUGUUUUGUUGCAUGCAUGCAAGGACAAUCAACGUAAGAAACAGACAGAGGUAGAUGACUGUACAAAUAUAUCAUGCAUGUCAACAUAUAUAUUAAUAAAUACUAAUUGAGUGUUUUUUUCCAAACAGAUUAAGUUUUUAGAUGAUAUAGUCAUACAAUUCAAUCAUACAUAUUAUUGUUGGAUUUAACCCAGUAUAUUGUGUUUUACUAUCAUCAUAUUAUAACAUGUUGCAAAAGAUUACCUAUAUGAACGAACAACCACACAUGCUUUAUACUAGUUAUGAAUGUGACAGAACUGAGUAGUUUUGGUCAAAUUUCAUACUUAUAUAUAUUAAAAAUCUACUUAACUCAUUCAGAAUUCGCUAAAUUGUCCUUUUUAAUGUUCAGAACUUAUUAUAAAUUAAAAAUUCUGAAUUGGAGUCAAGGGUAUAAAAGUAAAUUUACAAGGGACGAGAACUUACUUGUUUUUGUUCAUAGGGUAUAUGAGUAUUGGACCACUAGUUUUGUUUCCCAAAAUGCCCUUAAAUACUCCUUUAUCAAACUCAGCAAUUCUUGAUUUUGGUACAAAUAAGUUUAGCCAUGGAUGUGGCACUUCCCAUAAACC
rnacentral:lncRNA from 1 species